UUGUCCUUCCCUCAAAGGUCAAGGAGCCAGGCUGUGGGGGGCGGGGCGUCCUUGGAGGCAAGCAGCAGCCUCGGCCAGAACAGACCUCUCAGGAGACCCCCACCUGCUCCGUGCCCCUGGGCAUCUGCACUGGCUGUCCCGGGAGUGGCUCUGGGCCUGUUGCACCUGCCCCCAGGGGAUGGCCCUCGAGACAAAUAAAAAAGCCUCCGCUGACUGUGCGGGCCAGUGUCCGGACUCCAGGGCCUAUUUUUAGAAUGUAGGACAACUUUCUCCCAGAAUAGACAAGACGGGCUAAUCCAGGAGGGAGGCCUGGGAGAGAUGAAGACAUCGAGUCUAGAUAUGAAUUAGCCAGAGAGCACAAUCAGGGGAGCAGCAGACGGAGAGGGACAAGCAGACUCCCCACCGAGCAGCGAGCCUGACGUGGGGCUCGAUCCCAGGACCCCGGGAACAUGACUUGAGCUAAAGGCCGGUGCUUACGGCCUGAGCCACUCAGGACUCUCCACGUUUCUAAGCGUCCGCACAUGUGGAUGAGAACAGCACCUGCAAGGGGACAAAAGUCCGAAAGAACAGCAGCACUUGGAGCUACUGAGGUUGGAGGAGGUAGACACGCACGCAGGUCCACGCCGGCGGGAGGGCAGCGCUCUGCAGGCCCAGGCGGAUUUUAUUUAUUUGAGAGAGAGGGAGAAGGAAGAAGCGUGAGCACAGCAGAGGGAGAAGG